UCCGUGGGAUUAGAAAAACGAAACAAUCGCUGCGGGAACAAGCAUUUAGCAAUCCAAAAUAUUCUGAUAAGAGAGUUUGUAAAUUGAGGAUUGUUCAAUAAGCAACCUUCUCUCAUUUUUGGUAUUAAAAGCAGUCGAAUAGAACGUUCAUAGAUAUUGUUCGAAAUGAAUUCGAAAAAAUAUUUUAUUCUCAUACUUGCAUUAAUUUCAUUCUUUCAUACCAAAAUUGCGAGAUGUCAAAAGGAAAAGGGAAAGCGCCCCAUAUAUUUAGUGUAUCCAGAAACGACCUGGGACUUCGCAGCCAGGGAUUGGAAUAAACAUCAUAAGGAGGCUCAUACAUUAACUUGGCCCAAAUUGUAUAAUCUCUUCAUUGAUGGCUUUGUACCAAAAAGAGUACCAAGAAACUCGAAUUAUUAUGAAAUCAGUAGUAGAGUACUUAGUCGAAUAGAAAAAUAAAAUACCUACAACAGUAAGUACCUACAUAAUUACUUAGCUGGUACUAAAACAACAUCAAGCAGUUGGUUUGUAAUGUAAUCAUAAUGAUCACCGGACAGGAUGAAAAUUCUACUCAAUGGAAUCAAUUUAUUACUGUCUUACAUUUAUUUUCCAAAUAAUAAUCAUAAGAUUCAUUUCCAUCAAUUGUAAAAGAAAUAACAAUAAUUUUUUUUUUAAUGCAGUGCAGUAAUAAUUUGCCUUUUUCUACUUUUAGAGUUAUAAAUGCAAAAUUUUCUUAAGCAAAUUUAAUAAUUUUUAGCUUUUGAAAUAAAUUAUCUAUAUGUAACUUAAACUAGCCAAACACUUGAGGUAUAAAAUAGUGAUAAUUUGAUUCUACAUUUCUGUUCAAUAUGGAUAAAUGUAUUAUGUAUAACGACUUUUAAUAAUUUGAUCAUU